GACGAACGCUGGCGGCGUGCUUAACACAUGCAAGUCGAACGGAAAGGCCCUGCUUUUGUGGGGUGCUCGAGUGGCGAACGGGUGAGUAACACGUGAGUAACCUGCCCUUGACUUUGGGAUAACUUCAGGAAACUGGGGCUAAUACCGGAUAGGAGCUCCUGCUGCAUGGUGGGGGUUGGAAAGUUUCGGCGGUUGGGGAUGGACUCGCGGCUUAUCAGCUUGUUGGUGGGGUAGUGGCUUACCAAGGCUUUGACGGGUAGCCGGCCUGAGAGGGUGACCGGCCACAAUGGGCCUGAGAUACGGACCAGAAUCCUACGGGAGGCAGCAGUGGGGAAUAUUGCACAAUGGGCGGAAGCCUGAUGCAGCAACGCCGCGUGCGGGAUGACGGCCUUCGGGUUGUAAACCGCUUUCGCCUGUGACGAAGCGUGAGUGACGGUAAUGGGUAAAGAAGCACCGGCUAACUACGUG
rnacentral:rRNA from 1 species